UACGUAGGGGGCAAGCGUUGUCCGGAUUUAUUGGGCGUAAAGAGCGUGUAGGCGGUCUGGUAGAUCCGUUGUGAAAACUCGAGGCUCAACCUCGAGACGCCGAUGGAAACCAUCAGACUAGAGUCCGGAAGAGGAGAGUGGAAUUCCUGGUGUAGCGGUGAAAUGCGCAGAUAUCAGGAAGAACACCCGUGGCUAAGGCGGCUCUCUAGUACGGUACUGACGCUGAGACGCGAAAGCGUGGGGAGCGAACAGG
rnacentral:rRNA from 1 species